AUGGAGUCUCUGCUGGCGGCCGCGCCCUUCCAUGUCGCAGCCUUCUCAUCCGUAUCCUCUCCGUCCACCCACUCGCCGUCUCUCCUCCGCAGCAUCCGUGGAGGCGGCCGCGCCGUCCGAUGCGCCGCGGCCAAGGAGGCCAUCCUGUACGCGCUGGAGCACGAUGAGAUGUUCAACUCGGAAGAGGUGAUCCAGUGGGAGAGCGGCAAGACGAUCAACUCCAUCGCCGCCGCGCAGGGCAUCCGCAUCCGCCGCCGGUGCCGCCCCCGGUACCCCUCGGAGGGCUCCGGCGACGAUAAGGCCGUGCCCCGCAACAUCCUCGAGCAGAUCGUGUGGGACAAGGAGGUGGAGGUGUCGCAGAGGAAGGCCAAGAAGCCUCUGAAGAGUGUCGUGGAGUCCAGCGAGCACGCGCCGCCGGCCAGGGAUUUCAUCGGCGCUCUCACGGCAGCCCACCGUCGCAACGGCGUGCCUGCCCUGAUCGCCGAGGUUAAGAAGGCGUCGCCCAGCAGGGGCGUGCUAAGGGAGAACUUCAACCCGGUUGAGAUCGCGCAGGCAUACGAGAAAAACGGCGCGGCUUGCCUUAGCAUCCUCACGGAUGAGAAGCACUUUCAGGGGAGCUUUGAGAACCUUGAAACGGUCCGCAAUUCGGGUGUGCAGUGCCCUCUUCUGUGCAAAGAGUUCGUCAUCGAUAUCUGGCAAAUCUACUACGCACGAUCAAAGGGCGCCGAUGCGAUUCUCUUGAUUGCUGCUGUGCUACCGGAUCUUGACAUGAAGUACAUGCUUCGCAUUUGCAAAAAUCUUGGAAUGACUGCUCUUAUUGAGGUUCACGAUGAGAAAGAACUCGACCGCGUGCUGAGAAUAGAUGGUGUUGAGCUUAUUGGAAUCAAUAACCGUAGUCUAGAGACAUUCGUAGUUGAUACUUCAAACACAAGGAUGUUGAUGGAGAAGCGUGGUGAUAUCAUAAAGGAGAAGGGAAUAUUUGUUGUUGGUGAAUCUGGCCUGUUCACUCCCGAUGAUGUUGCAUAUGUGCAUAGCGCUGGCGUUUCUGCUGUUUUGGUAGGAGAGUCUCUGAUCAAGGAAGAAGAUCCUGGGCGAGCCAUUGCUGGGCUUUUCGGGAAGGAGCUCUUGAGUUGA
rnacentral:rRNA from 1 species